rnacentral:rRNA from 1 species
UACGUAGGGUGCGAGCGUUGUCCGGAAUUAUUGGGCGUAAAGGGCUCGUAGGCGGUUUGUCGCGUCGGGAGUGAAAACCAGGUGCUUAACACCUGGCUUGCUUUCGAUACGGGCAGACUAGAGGUAUUCAGGGGAGAACGGAAUUCCUGGUGUAGCGGUGAAAUGACGCAGAUAUCAGGAGGAACACCGGUGGCGAAGGCGGGUCUCUGGGCCGAUACUGACGCUGAGGAGCGAAAGCGUGGGGAGCAAACGGG